rnacentral:rRNA from 1 species
GAUGAACGCUGGCAGCGUGCCUAAUACAUGCAAGUCGAGCGAACAGACGAGGAGCUUGCUCCUCUGACGUUAGCGGCGGACGGGUGAGUAACACGUGGAUAACCUACCUAUAAGACUGGGAUAACUUCGGGAAACCGGAGCUAAUACCGGAUAAUAUAUUGAACCGCAUGGUUCAAUAGAGAAAGACGGUUUUGCUGUCACUUAUAGAUGGAUCCGCGCCGCAUUAGCUAGUUGGUAAGGUAACGGCUUACCAAGGCAACGAUGCGUAGCCGACCUGAGAGGGUGAUCGGCCACACUGGAACUGAGACACGGUCCAGACUCCUACGGGAGGCAGCAGUAGGGAAUCUUCCGCAAAGGGCGAAAGCCUGACGGAGCAACGCCGCGUGAGUGAUGAAGGUCUUCGGAUCGUAAAACUCUGUUAUUAGGGAAGAACAAAUGUGUAAGUAACUAUGCACGUCUUGACGGUACCUAAUCAGAAAGCCACGGCUAACUACGUG